rnacentral:lncRNA from 1 species
GCGUCGAAGCGGUGCGCGUCGAACCGGUGCGCGUCGAACCGGUGCGCGUCGAAGCGGUGCGCGUCGAAGCGGUGCGCGUCGAAGCGGUGCGCGUCGAAGCGGUGCGCGUCGAAACGGUACGCGUCGAAACGGUUCGCGUCUACGCGUCGAAGCGGUUCGCGUCUACGCGUCGAAACGGUGCGCGUCGAAACGGUACGCGUCGAAACUGUGCGCGUCGAAACUGUGCGCGUCGAAACUGUGCGCGUCGAAACUGUGUGCGUCGAAACGGUGCGCGUCGAAACGGUACGCGUCGAAACGGUACGAAACUCGUCCCGAUCCGAAACUCGUCUCGUGCGGUAACUCGUGCCGGCCAG